AAAGUGCGAUAAGUAAUGUGAAUUGCAGGUUGUGAAUCAUCGAAUCUUUGAACGCAAAUGGCACUUGGGGGUCAUCCUCCGAGUAUGUCUGGUUGAGUGUCGGUAAUCUCAUCACACCACACCCCUGUAAGGGGCCGUGUGGCUGUGCCAUGCUGGGAACGCACUGUGUAAAAACAGUGACGGUCCUCAAGAGCAGCGAGAGCAGCAGCAGUGCAACAAUGCAGCAAUGCCGCCGUGUGGAAAUCUGUGUCACAACAGGAACAGACACGGCACCGCGUGCUGCAGCAUUAUAGCUGGCCUGCGCGCACCACAAACACACUUCUGUGCAUAGCUGAAAUGUAUGUUUUAUUAUGUACGUUUCAUCAGCUCAGACUUACGCAUCGACAUCAGCUCAGGCAAG
rnacentral:misc_RNA from 1 species